rnacentral:lncRNA from 1 species
UAUUAAUUUAUUACUACUCAUUAUUCAUAAUAAUAAGUGAAAACAUUUCUUUCCAGUGUCCCUGGCAGGGAGUAAGGGAGCGUGUUUAGAUCGUUCUCCUUUUCUUUUUUCCCAGAAAUGAUAUAAUGAGCUUCAACCUAGAAGAGUCCUUUCCUAAGCAUGGAAGUUACUUCCCAGGAGGGACUUGGGUGCUGAAGUGCUUGGAUCUGCCUCAUUAAUCUAUGUGGUAGAGAAGUUUCUCAUUUUCCUGACUUUGCUUGGAGCCCAGGCCCAGAUACAAACUGGAGGAUAAAAGGAGGCUACUUAAAAUAACACCAGCUAUUUUUAUAAGAGUGAUAAAAUAUCUUGAGCAAGAGAAGUGGCUCUUAAAACCAGCCGCUAUGGUCGCUCCUCUUGAUGAAGAAGGUUUAUUCUCAUGACACAUUUCAUAGCUUUAUAAUCUGGGCUAUUAGAAAACAGAAAGCCCAAGGAGCAUUUAUGACAUCUUAUAAGGCUGAGGUUAUUUUAAAACCUCAUGAAACCAUGGACAAAUAUUCUUCAAAAUCUGAAAGUAUGAUUCUGGGAGUCUGGGUGUGGAGGAAGCAGGAGCUGUGGUGCAGCAGAAGAGCGUGGAACAAAGAUUUAAGACGUCUGGGUCUGAUGGUUUUGCCUUCCAGGAGCUCAGUCUCCAUAUCUGUAAAAUGGAGAGUAUAUUCUCAUCUUCACUGGGUUGCUGAGAGGAACAGGUACGAAAUGCAUGUGAAGAUGCUUUAAAUGUAUACAUUCCUAGAAACAACACAAAUAUUUUUGCUUUAGUUAAUUAGACACUGAGAUCAAAGUUGGAUGUUUUUAGGCCCCAUGGUUUUGGAUGGUCUUUUGGAAUCACAGGUUGAUUCUGCCUCCUUUCCUGAUUUUCAAUGUUCUUUUUUAAAUAACUGAUAGUUCACAAAAUAUAUUGCCUUCAUAUUUUGAUAAUCUCACAUUAAUGAAUCAGAAGUUAACAUGCUGUUUUCAUUAUUUUAGGAAAAGGAUUUUCCCCAUGGAAAAUCUUAAUCAGAAUAAUAUCCCAUUGUGGCAGGGAAUUUUAAAUCUUUCUGUUGGAAAUUGAUUCUUUUGUGCUUUUAAAGGUUCUUCAAGAUUCUGCUAGUAAAAUGCCCUGGGAGGGGAAAACAUGUAAAUUCUUGCCUAUACCUUUUAUGCAUCAGAAAGAGAAGUUUUUCUUUCUGUCUUUCUCUCUUUCUGUCUCUCUCUCUCUCUUUUUUUUUUUUUUUUUUUUUUUUGGCCACAUCUGGGGUGUGCGAAAGUUCCAGGGCCAGUGACAGAACCUGGGCCACAGCAGCACCCGGAGCCACAGCAGUGACAACACCAGAUCCCCAACCUGCUGAGCCACCAGGGAACUCCUGGGGAUUUUGCUUUCUGACUAAACUGGUAGCUUAGAAUGAGGCUAUGAGGAUGGUGGAAAUCACCACCCUUGUACUAGGUGUUGUGUGAAGCAUUGCGUGUAACUUGUACUCUCUCAUUAUUAAAUACUGGCAUGCUGGCCUUGUUCACUGCCUUGCAUGCACGUGGAAAUGGAGGCACAGAACAGUUCAGUUAACUGGUUUACACGAAUGCAAGAUUACAAGACUGGUCAGCCCAGAAGCUGGGAUGCAGAGUGGACAUUAGGGAGAGGAGGGCUUUCCACCAAGAAGAAAGGCACCGGCCAAACCUCCAGUGCAGAUCUGCCUGGGAGAGUGCUGUCCUUCACAUCUGAUGCAGAAGAGACCCCGUGGACAGGGACACACAUGCAUUUACUUGGGAGUGUGUCAUGGGGUGCUAGGUGGUCUUGGUACCUCCCCCAUGAUGGUGGCAUUUGCUGCUUCAUUCAAGAGAUGGGAUAAAAUAGGUUUUUACUCCUAACUCCCAUCUCUACUCAAUACCUACAGUGAGAACAUGGGAUUUUUGUUCUGAGAUGAGUCUUCUCAUCUGUGAAACAGAAAUAAAUAGUAGCUGCCUACUUAGGAGGAUUAAAUC